UUUUUACUCUCUUCGUUCGGAAUUACUUGUCAUAAAAAUGAAUGUAUCUAAAUGUAUUUUAGUUCUAGAUAUAUCUAUUUCUAAGACAAAUAAUUCCGAACGGAGGGAGUACUAC
rfam:Triticum aestivum genome assembly, contig: Triticum_aestivum_CS42_TGACv1_scaffold_002380_1AL